AACGCUGUCCUUGUAGCAACAAAAAGCAACACAAAGCUGUGCAGCACCCAGAAAUCAUCAACAUGUAACGCUUGUUUCCACAGAUCAAUCCAGCUCCAUCCAGGCUGCAGGGAAUAUGGAGACUUCCCGACCUGACAGUCCAACAGAGAGGAAGAAAUCUGAUAACAAGGACUCAAAGAGUCGAGGAGCUGCUGCAGAAAAUAUGGAGACAUCACCAUCACAACCUGACUGUUCAAAAGAGACAUCUGUUAACAGGGAAGAAGAAGAAGAACAGUCUGAUGUGUCUCCACAUGCUGCAGAUACUCAGACACUGAUGUGUCCACAUUGUGAAAAACUUCUAGCUGAGUUUACUGCUGAGAUGGCUGUGAAUGAAGAGAAAUGUCAGAAGAUCCUGGAAGAACUGAAGAGGUCUGAAAUCAAAGAUUAUGUUCCACGUGCUGAAGAGUUGAAGAAGAAAAUUCAAAGUCUCCAGAGUGAUGUUUUGAAAUUCUUCACUGAUGUGAACAGUUUUCCUUCAAAGAAACCAAGAACAGAACAAGACAACCAGGCUGCAGACAAUACAGAGACAUCACAACCUGACCGUCCAGAAGAGGUCCAGAGUGAACCAACUGCUGCAGAAAAUAUGGAGACAUCACCAUCACAACCUGACUGUUCAAAAGAGACAUUUGUUAACAGGGAGAAAGAAGAAGGACAGGCUGCAGACUCAGACAGUUUGAGCCAUCCACACUCUAAGAGACAAUUUCCAGUUGACACUGCUGCUGUGGCCAUGAUCCAACAAAAUGAAGUAAGAAAGAGCAUUUAACUUUAAAAGCACAUAAAGAUUUAAAAAAGGGUGAAAUGGAUUUGGAGCUCCUGCAUUAAUGUUCAUAACGCAUUUUCAUCUUCACUUAAACUGGCUUAAAAACAAACAACAC
rnacentral:lncRNA from 1 species